UAUAUGGUGAUCUCCUUUUUCCUUAUGUUAGCAGUGAGUUGUUUCUGUUUUUCUGGUUUUCCAUUGCUCCUAAAAUGUACAUCGAAAUCAGUGUGGUUGUAUUCAGAGAGAUGAGCUACUAUGUAGACAUUAUUUGUUUUUGUUAUGUACCUGGUUACUUAAUAAUCAUUCUUGAUAUUCUAUCCUUCUCUGUGACGUCCGCCUGCAGGUUGGUAUUCUAUCCCUCUGAGAUGCACAUGAUUUAGUUGAGCCAGCGUUGGUUACAUGUAUUGUCCCUUCUGUUAUCUCUAAUGGCAAUAUUGGUGAUUCUCACAUUGUAAUGGGUGGGCGUUCUUCGAUUUUUCCUGCAGAAAAUGUCCGUGGAUGCAUUGUUAGGUGACAAGUUGCUGUGGGUUGUACGAUUUCCAUCUCUCAUCAGUUGAAAUUUUCACCUGGAAUACCGGUGGCAUACGUGUUGUUAAAUUUGGUCAGGCAGCUUGGAAGCAGAUACAAAUAAGGCACGUACUCAUGUUUUCCUUGACACAUUGUCAAAUGGACAUGAUCUGUCAAGAG